UACGUAGGUGGCAAGCGUUGUCCGGAAUUAUUGGGCGUAAAGCGCGCGCAGGCGGUCCUUUAAGUCUGAUGUGAAAGCCCACGGCUCAACCGUGGAGGGUCAUUGGAAACUGGGGGACUUGAGUACAGAAGAGAAGAGUGGAAUUCCACGUGUAGCGGUGAAAUGCGUAGAGAUGUGGAGGAACACCAGUGGCGAAGGCGACUCUUUGGUCUGUAACUGACACUGAGGCACGAAAGCGUGGGGAGCAAACAGG
rnacentral:rRNA from 1 species